GACGAACGCUGGCGGCGUGCUUAACACAUGCAAGUCGAGCGGUAAGGCCCUUUCGGGGGUACACGAGCGGCGAACGGGUAGAGUAACACGUGGGUGACCUGCCCUCAGCUCUGGGAUAAGCCUGGGAAACCGGGUCUAAUACUGGAUAUGACUCCAUGACGCAUGUUGUGGGGUGGAAAGCCUUGUGCGGCUGAGGAUGGGCCCGCGGCCUAUCAGCUUAUUGGUGGGGUGAGGCCUACCGAGGCGACGACGGGUAGCCGGCCUGAGAGGGCGACCGGCCACACUGGGACUGAGACACGGCCCAGACUCCUACGGGAGGCAGCA
rnacentral:rRNA from 1 species